UACGGCGGGAGCUAGCGUUGUUCGGAAUUACUGGGCGUAAAGCGCACGUAGGCGGCUCUUUAAGUCAGGGGUGAAAUCCCGGAGCUCAACUCCGGAACUGCCCUUGAAACUGGGAAGCUAGAAUCUUGGAGAGGCGAGUGGAAUUCCGAGUGUAGAGGUGAAAUUCGUAGAUAUUCGGAAGAACACCAGUGGCGAAGGCGACUCGCUGGACAAGUAUUGACGCUGAGGUGCGAAAGCGUGGGGAGCAAACAGG
rnacentral:rRNA from 1 species